UGUAGACCGGAGCUGUUCCUGUUCGGCCAUCAUGGCUCCUCCACCACCUCUAUGGCUACUGGAUUCUUUAAGGAUGAAGACAUGGGGGUUACCAAGCACAAUGGAUGAGCUAUGCACUUUCAAAAAGGGGCCAGAAAAGGGAAAAUCUGUGUGCUUCCACCUGUACGAUUAGGAACUGCUGAAACACGCGCCUCACACGUUUAAUCAUGGGAGGAGAAGCCCUCCCGGCAAGAACAAUCCAUCAUCCGACAGACGCUUGAUUGUAACAGAUGACGGAGCACAGAACCACAACAUUUGGAGAUUACCAACAUGGUUUUCAGCCCUCAGCUUUGGCGAGACUUCUUCCUUUUCAUUCUUUUCUGGGCAAAUCUAAACCUUUGGAGAAGUAGAUGAGUGAAGUCAAUUGCAAAGGGACUGGAUCUCUCUCUAUCACCCAGACUGGAGUGCAGUGGCACAAUCGUGGCUCACUGCAGUCUUGAACUCCUGGCCUCAAGAGAUCUUCCUGCCUCAGCCUCCUGAAUGGUUGCGACUACAGGUGAGAGCCUGGCUCAUUUAACCUUUUAAAAGUGCAUGGUUCAGUGGCAUUAAGUACAUUCCCCUUGUGCAAUUGGUACUCCCAUUCACUUCCAGAGCUUUUUUCUUUUCCCCAAAGUGAAACUCCAUAACUAUUCAGCAAUAACUCCUCAUCACUCCUUUCCCACUUCCCCAGCCCUUGGUAACCACGAAUCUACUUUUUGUUUCUAUGAACUUGACUAUCCUGGGUACCACAUGGAAGUGGAAUCAUACAAUAUUUGUCCUUUUGUGUCUGGCUUGUUUAACUUGGCAUGAUGCUUAGUUCACAUGGUGUGAUGUCCUCUAGGUUCAUCCAUGUUGUAGUAUGUAUCAGAAUUUCAUUCCCCUUUUAAGGCUGUAUUAUAUUCCAUUGUGUACAUACACCACAUUUUGUUUAUUAUUUAAGUAAUCUGAAUUUGUUUGUUUGUUUUGUUUUAAACUUUCUAUGCUGAUAUUGUAUUCCUCUGACAAUUAAAAUAAUGGAAUUGCAGAAGACAC
rnacentral:lncRNA from 10 species